GCAAUCUGAAAAGGUUCAGCAGAAAGAUAUAAAUAUCACCUCUAGCCUGACUUUUUUUCUGUCUGAAGACUGUAGGAUCCAGUAUGAAGUUCUCAAGUGGCCUACUCUUCCUCCUGGUACUUCUCACCUUCAGCAUGGAGCAGCAACAAGCCAGAGAGAUCAAACGAUCAAUAAUUUUGGAUGCUUGUGCAUACAUGUGUGAAAAGGACUGGGACUGUGAGGCUGGAGAACACUGUAUCAAGAAUGGAUGUAACCAGGUCUGCUCAGAUUAUGUUUAGGUAAGAGGAGCAAAUCUUAUUCCCUGCCUCCAGUUCAUUCCAGAAAAGUCAUGCUGUUGACUCAACCAAUUUUCCUGUUUGGUUUGGUUUUUGGUUAACCAAUGAGGAACAAACACCUACCUGUAUCUCUGUGCAUCUCCAUCUUGGGGAUCACUCCCCGCACACCCCACCUCUACUGCCUUUCCCAAGGGCAAUACUAACAUUAAAGGGAAAACUUGACUUUUGCAACAUUCCUUUAAUCUCCUCAUCUUUGCUCUUUCAAGUGAUCAGGAAAUUCAAAUCUUAACUCAGAAAACAAAAACAAAACCAAGUAUAUCAAAUAGCCAAACUGCUUCUUUCCUCCUAAUGUAUUUUAUCUUAGCCAUUUUAUCCAAGCACUUCUGUAGAUAUGGAAGGAGCCUUAGAAGUCAUUUCAUCAAAUCCCUUCAUUUUACAGAUGAGGAAAUGGACCCCAGAAACAGGAAGGGGUUUGCUCCAGGUCCAGCUUACUAAGUGGCAGAGCCCAGGAGGAGGCAAUGUGAUGAUCAAUGGCUCUGGAGUCAGAGAAUAGGGGUUCAAAUCCUCUCUAAUGCUUUUUGCUUCUGUGACCUGGCAAGUCACUGAAGGCUUUAUAUUCCUCAUCUGUAAAAUGAAAGGCUUGGAUUGGAUGACUUUUAAGGUCUUUUCUAACCCUAGAUCUAUGGUCUAAACAAUUUGAACUAAGGUACCUGGUACUUAAAUUCCAUGAUCUUGUCAGGCAGAAAUCCUAACUGACAAUGAGGUUGGUUACUUAACUAGCUCUGUGGCCCUGAUCUGGCUGGUUAUCCUCACUAAAACUCCAGCUUCUUCAUCUGUAAAAUGGGGAAAAUAAUAAUUAUGGUACCAACCUCACAGGGUGUCUGAAAUUCAAAUGAGCUCAAGUUUGUAAAUCUUAGGGAGCUAUAUGAAUACCAGUUAUUUUUAUAGUCUCCUACUGCUUUCCUUUAUAGGUAUGAUCUACUUUAGCACAUUUUCAUUUUAU
rnacentral:lncRNA from 1 species